AGAAUGUUCAUUGUAUUGGAAUUGUCCGGCUUUGGAUCUAUUUAAAUGUUCAGUAUCAGCACAUGUUUCUCAGAGAUCUUGUGGGUAUGAUAGGUGGUAUGGCCAUUUUGUGGAAUGAUUUAGUAUCUUCGAUUUCUGAUAUAAUUACGGCGAAUUUUGUGUUGUGUGAUAUGUGAAUUGACUGAAACUAGAGAUGUGAUGCAUAUGACCUUUAUGCAUGCUCCUGCUGCUAUUCAGAAAGAAUGAGGGUAUGAAAUCAACUCCAGCACUUAAUUACAGUGAACCCUUUGGCCAUGGAGUUAUUUGGGGGGAUUUCAAUGAAGUGCUCUCUAUCAUUGGAAGAAGAUUGGAGCUAGACAAGCUAAAAAUUUAUAAAAUGGUCACUUUUCAAGAUCUCCUGGAUAAAUGUUUGCUGUUGGAUGUUGAGAGUAAGUAAUGGCAUUUACCUAGUGUAACGAUCGGGAAGGGGAUGAUUUUGUCAAGAAAAGUAAAAGAUUGGACAGAGUUCUUGUACCCUGAAUGCAGGGCAUCUUAUCCAGAUGCAGAGAGGCCAAUGCACUACCUACCACUUCUUCCGAUCAUAGCCCCCCAUGUCACUUUCUUUCAGUGCUACUCGUUCUAAAAGGAAAGAGGGAGUUCAAAUCCAAGGCUCUCUUUGGCUGGAGGAUGAGACUGAGAGUGCUUGAAAGUUAGUGAAAGAAAAGUGGGUUUUGGGUGGAAGAACUGAAGAGGGUAUUAAGGAAGAAGCUGGAGAUUAUCAUUUCUAAGGGUUUGGCAGAUUGGAGCAAACAUGAAAAGCUUUCAAAUGCCAAAAGACAGGUAGAGGCCCUGAAGAAGGACCUACAGCAAAGAAGAGAUCCCACUGAGAUAUCUUCAGAUAAAGAGAGGGAAAAUUAAGCUUCUUGAUGUGGAGGCAAGAGGAGAUACAUUGAGGGAUGAAUUUGAGAAUUCAAUUGCUGAGAUGGGAUCACAGAAAUACUAAAAUUUUUAGAUGCCAUUACAAGACA